CUCGUGUAUUGCACGUCACAUGUCGAUAUAUGGCCGUGUCUAUUUUAAAAUGUUGUCUGUUGAAAACAACAGCGAGUGAAAAAGUGUUAUGAAAAACAAAUGUUGGCCUGAGAACUUGCAGGCCGAUGACGCUAAGAUUACUGUGAACAGACAUAACCUCAAACAAGAAACUCUAUUCAGAGAAAUACUUAAAACCUGUAUUUGGCUUCGACAAUUCCGAACAAAAUGGAAAAUGUAUAUUUUGCAACAGUGGCUGGGAAUACUGGACGUUGCAAAACAUUUGAUUGCAUUAAAACAUGAACUUGUAAGUACACUUAUGCAUGGGCGGUAAGGGUCGGCGCACACCGUACAAAGUUGCGAGUAAUUUAUGGCGGGCCGGUUUAUGGGCCCUGAGCUAAGUUCGCACAUGCACCGACGCAACUUGUAUAGAAGUCAUAAAUAUCCGCUAACCCCUUCCAUGAGGUCAGAUGCUGUUGGCAAUCUUCAUUGAAAUACAAGUUUUGUCUUGGUUAUA